rnacentral:lncRNA from 1 species
GAGAAGUCACAAUCAAGUGAGGUUCUAAUUCACAUUUUUAAAGAAAGGAACAAAGGAAGAAAGAUCAAGCAGAGGAGAUGGCCUGCCACCUGUGAUUCAUGAGAAAAAGCCAAAAGGAAAGCCAAAGGAAGGGUCAGAGCCCCAAACUCUUCCUAAGCAUGCAUCAGAUACAGGAAGUAAGCAUGCUCACAAAGAAAAAGCACUUUCCAGAUCAAAUGAGCAGAUAGUGUCAGAGAAAUCAUCAGAAUCAAAGACAAAAUUUCAAGAUGCUCCUUCUGCUGAUGGAGAGAGUGUGGCUGGAGGUGUGACUGUGGCCACUGCCUCAGACAAGGUGGUUGUUAAGAAAAAAGAGAAGAAAUCAUUAACACCUACUUUACCUAUGGAGUCCACACUAAACAAGCUAU